GAGAAGUGGAGGUUAUAUGGGACAGAGAUGACAGGAGAGAGAAGUGGAGGUUAUAUGGGACAGAGAUGACAGGAGAGAGAAGUGGAGGUUGUAUAGGACAGAGAUGACAGGAGAAAUGGAGGUUAUAUAGGACAGAGAUGACAGCAGAGAGAAGUGGAGGUUGUAUGGGACAGAGAUGACAGGAGAGAGAAGUGGAGGUUGUAUGGGACAGAGAUGACAGCAGAGAGAAGUGGAGGUUAUAUGGGACAGAGAUGACAGGAGAGAGAAGUGGAGGUUGUAUAGGACAGAGAUGACAGGAGAAAUGGAGGUUAUAUAGGACAGAGAUGACAGCAGAGAGAAGUGGAGGUUGUAUAGGACAGAGAUGACAGCAGAGAGAAGUGGAGGUUAUAUGGGACAGAGAUGACAGGAGAGAGAAGUGGAGGUUGUAUAGGACAGAGAUGACAGGAGAAAUGGAGGUUAUAUAGGACAGAGAUGACAGGAGAAAUGGAGGUUAUAUAGGACAGAGAUGACAGCAGAGAGAAGUGGAGGUUAUAUAGGACAGAGAUGACAGCAGAGAGAAGUGGAGGUUAUAUAGGACAGAGAUGACAGCAGAGAGAAGUGGAGGUUAUAUGGGACAGAGAUGACAGGAGAGAGAAGUGGAGGUUGUAUAGGACAGAGAUGACAGGAGAGAGAAGUGGAGGUUGUAUAGGACAGAGAUGACAGGAGAGAGAAGUGGAGGUUGUAUAGGACAGAGAUGACAGGAGAGAGAAGUGGAGGUUGUAUAGGACAGAGAUGACAGGAGAGAGAAGUGGAGGUUGUAUAGGACAGAGAUGACAGGAGAGAGAAGUGGAGGUUGUAUAGGACAGAGAUGACAGGAGAGAGAAGUGGAGGUUGUAUAGGACAGAGAUGACAGGAGAGAGAAGUGGAGGUUGUAUAGGACAGAGAUGACAGGAGAAGUGGAGGUUGUAUAGGACAGAGAUGACAGGAGAGAGAAGUGGAGGUUAUAUGGGACAGAGAUGACAGGAGAAGUGGAGGUUGUAUAGGACAGAGAUGAAAGUGGAUGCAAAAAGUGUAAAAUAAUCAGUAUAAUAUCUACAGUAAGUAAUCUACUAAACAUUUAGGUAAUCAGCAAGGGGAGAGGUUAAGUUGAACAAAAUCCAGUGCACUGUGG